rnacentral:rRNA from 1 species
CAUGUCUAGCUUGCUAGAUGAUGUCGAGUGGCGGACGGGUGAGUAAUACUUAGGAACAUGCCUUUGGGUGGGGGAUAACUAUUGGAAACGAUAGCUAAUACCGCAUGACGUCUACGGACCAAAGGGGGCUUCGGCUCCCGCCCAGAGAGUGGCCUAAGCGAGAUUAGCUAGUUGGUGUGGUAAAGGCUCACCAAGGCGACGAUCUCUAGCUGUUCUGAGAGGAAGAUCAGCCACACUGGGACUGAGACACGGCCCAGACUCCUACGGGAGGCAGCAGUGGGGAAUAUUGGACAAUGGGCGCAAGCCUGAUCCAGCCAUGCCGCGUGAGUGAUGAAGGCCUUAGGGUUGUAAAGCUCUUUCAACGGUGAAGAUAAUGACGGUAACCGUAGAAGAAGCCCCGGCUAACUUCGUGCCAGCAGCCGCGGUAAUACGAAGGGGGCUAGCGUUGUUCGGAAUUACUGGGCGUAAAGCGUACGUAGGCGGAUUAGAAAGUUAGGGGUGAAAUCCCAGGGCUCAACCCUGGAACUGCCUCUAAAACUCCUAAUCUUGAGUUCGAGAGAGGUGAGUGGAAUUCCGAGUGUAGAGGUGAAAUUCGUAGAUAUUCGG